rnacentral:lncRNA from 1 species
AACAGUUGUUUUGACCUCAUGGAGAGCAGCCAAAAAUAGGGGAUGGUACUUUUUCAGUGAGUCCAUUUUGAUUGCAGGUCUGAAAGCAGCUUUUCAAAAUGGCAGGUGAGGUGGUUUAUGCUGAGGUACCACCCAAGGAAAGAGUACAUUUCACUUCAGAAACUUCAGAUACAGCAGGUGAUCCAAUCACAUAUGCUGAGGUGAAGGUGGAAUGGAGAUCUGACAGACCUGACAGCACAUCCAAAAUUACACAUUCAGUGACCUGCUUGGAGAACUCACACUGGUGUUAUGUUGUUUUCGCUCUGGUCUUCACUGCAGUGAUUCUGUUCAUCACUGUCAUCCUCUUGGCAGUGAAAUGUCCCAGCCUCUCAGGUGGACGCUGACGUCUUGUUGACACACAGGAUAACUCAGCCCAGGAGGGUUCUGCUUGUUCAACAGAACAGGACAUAAUGCUUGUUUUCUUUUACAUGAUUUUCUCUGAAGAGACUUGUAUGAAAGAAGACGUGCCAUCAGUCCAAUCACUCUUCAGUUAUGUCAUCCCAGAUCUCUGUUAAACCUCUAACCUCUCCAUAUCUGGGCAAGACAUAUAUUAACUUUAUUUGGAGUUUUCUUAAACCUAUAAUACCAGCAACCAUCCAAUUAUAUCAAUGUGUGUAGCAAGGCCUGGGUUCAAGCUGCUGCAUCAAAAGUUGGAUUUGGGUCUUGUUUAGACUACAAAAAUGACCCGAUGGACUGCUUGGAGACCUACAUUUAAUUUACAUCUGAUUUGAUUCUGCAAUACUUUGCAAUACAGAUAAGCUUUUAGAUUGCAUUAUGUGCAAGUGCAAAAAUUCAUGGACAAAACAGGGAAUGUCAAAGGUUGCACUGAUCUUUUUUAUAAAGCCCAGGUUUAGACUUGAUUUUUCUUCCCUUGACAGCCUUCAGUGAUAUUUGUAUGAGAGGGCUAUUGAAGAUGCAAGAAACUAUAUUCAUUUAGUAGAGAGGUCUCAGUCUCAUCCCUUCAUUGGCUUGAAUAAAAUUAUUCUGUUCUAUUUGUCCA